AGAAGCUGUUUCACCAAGCUAAAAGGUGCGCGUCGAACAUGGCAGUCAAAAAGUAAGCCUGCUGCGCGAAUUUUCGAGUGGUUAUGUAAGGCAGACAUAAAAAUCCAAUCUGGCAAAAAGGCAAUCAGUGUUCCAUUGGAUUAAAUAUCAAAGUGGUGUGUGAAGUUAACCAUUUCAGAGACGAAUUUAAGUAAGUUUCGUUCGGUUUCGGCAGUUUUCGUUCGUGUGUUCUACGUGCAAUUUUUAUGCAAUUGAGAUGCGCUUCGCGUUUCCUUGUGAAAUUGUGAUGUGAUUGUUAACGGAAAUCGUUCGGCGGGUAAAUCCUACAUGUGUUAGCAUCUUUAAAUGUUUCAAAAUAAAAUGGUGCAAUAUGGAAUAAGCGGUUUGAAGUAUGAAAUAAAUUGAUGAAGAUGAUUAUGGUUCCGGUGAUGCGCAUUUUCUCGCUGACUGUUGCACGUACAUCCUACAUCCGUACAUCCCCAAUGGUAAACACAAACUGCGAUCCCAUGUCACAAGCCAACGGUGCAAACCAACUAUUUUUCCGAUGUACUGGAUAGCAGGAG